rnacentral:rRNA from 1 species
CUACCCUUGACAUGUACGGAAGUCCGCUGAGAGGUGGAUGUGCCCGAAAGGGAGCCGUAACACAGGUGCUGCAUGGCUGUCGUCAGCUCGUGUCGUGAGAUGUUGGGUUAAGUCCCGCAACGAGCGCAACCCUUGUCCCUAGUUGCUACGCAAGAGCACUCCAGGGAGACUGCCGGUGACAAACCGGAGGAAGGUGGGGAUGACGUCAAGUCCUCAUGGCCCUUAUGGGUAGGGCUUCACACGUCAUACAAUGGUCGGAACAGAGGGUUGCCAAGCCGCGAGGUGGAGCCAAUCCCAGAAAACCGAUCGUAGUCCGGAUCGCAGUCUGCAACUCGACUGCGUGAAGCUGGAAUCGCUAGUAAUCGCGGAUCAGCAUGCCGCGGUGAAUA